UAGGGGCCGUUUAAAAAUUGGUCCAUGUAUUCGCUAAUCCUUGCAAACUAGUCUUGCAAUCAUUAAUCAUUUAAAAUUUCAUCAUUUGACCAACUUAAUCACUGCCACACAUAAAAUUCCAAUUCUGCCCUUAAGAAGAUGACAAAAUAUUGAAGAAAGAAUUGGAAACCUAGGGGUAAAAUUGGAAUUUCAUGUGUAACAGUGAUUGACACGUCAUCAAAUUCUUGACGUGGCAGUGAUUAAGUGGGGAGAGGGACGAAAUUUUAAAUGAUUAAACAAUGCAGUGGUGAAUUGUCAGGAUUAGCGAUUACAGGGACCAAUUUUUAAACGACCCCU
rnacentral:pre_miRNA from 1 species